rnacentral:tRNA from 1 species
GACCCAGUAGCUCAGCAGGCAGAGCACCUGCCUUUUAAGCAGGGUGUCCGGCGUUCGAAUCGCCGCUGGGUCACCA